GUGAUUGUUGGGGAUGUCUAGCACAUAUUCAUUAUACGGAAGGCAUAAGUCUUAAAGUUAUAGUAUGAUAAUUAUAUAACGAUCCGUCCGGGAAACCGUUUAUUUAUUACGCAAUGAACUGAACCAUCUUAGUAAUUGUAGGAAAGGAAAACAACCGUGACUUCUAGAGUAGUGGCGAGCGAAAUAGAACUAGCCUACUGACAUUAUUGUAUUGUAGAAUACUUUUGAAUAAGUAAUCCAAAGAAGGUAAUAGCCCUGUAUACGUAUGAUAAUCAGUUAAGAUCAGAUAAAUAAGAACGAUUUUAGUAAUGUGAGAGAUAACUUGCAUGAAUAUAGGGGAACCAUCCUCUAAGGCUAAGUAUGAAUUAUGUAGCGAUAGUGAAAAGUACCGUGAGGGAAAGAUGAAAAGAAAGUCGAUGACUAGUGAAAUAGAUUCUGAAUCAGCAAUCAUAUAAGCAGUUAAAGCUCUUAAUAAUUCAAGAGUAAUAACGUACCUUUUGCAUAAUGGGGUAGCGAGUUAUUCUUAGUAGCAAGGUUUAUAGCCCUAGCGACAGCGACUGAUUAGUAUUUGACUAAUUUGGGAUAGUUACUAAGAUUAGACCCGAAACGUGGUGAUUUACCCUUUGCCAGAUUAAUUUAAAUAGAUCGAACGGGUCAAUGUUGCAUUAUUGUCCGAUGAGCAAAGGGUGGUAAGUGAAAGACAACUCUGACCACGAUAUAGCUGGUACUCCUCGAAACGUAUUGAGGUACGGUUUCCUAUAUAACUUACAUGGGUAAAGCACUGAUCAUCAUAUAGAUAAUUGUAAUGAUUGUCUAUUUAAUUGGGGGAUCAUAGAUUCUACCUUUGAUGUAUUAACCCCUGAAUAAUGUAAAUUAUAAUGUAGGAAGGACAGACUAUUCAUGAUAAGGUGGAUAGUCGAGACGGAAACAGCCGAGAACAUAGAUAGAAGGUCCCAAAAUAAUGACUAAGUGAAAUUAAGGAAGUCGAAAUCCUAUGACAGUAAUGAUGUUAGCUUGGAGGUAGCUAUCAUUUGAAGAGAGUGUAACAACUCAGUUACCUAAUUGGAUUUUAGGCACCGACGAUACACGGGUCUAUAGGUCAUUUACCGAAACUAUGUCAUAUAUAUUAGAACAUACUACGCUGGGCUCAUUGAAAAACUAUGAGAAAUCGGUUAUGUUAAAUAUGAGUAGAGGAGCAUCUUAUAUGGUUGAAAAAUAGUGUUACAUUAUUUGGACAUAAUAAGAGAGAAAAUGCUAUCAUGAGUAACGUAGAAGAUAGUUAUAAUACUAUCCGCCUAAUGAACAAGGGUUUCGUUGAAAUGGUUAACAGCGACGAUUAACAACGGCCUCUAAGAUCAUUAAUUAAUUGUUGAUGAUUGAUGAGUUUAUCAUAGAAAACUGUAAUAAUAAUUACGGUCAGGAAAACUAUAUGAAUAUUUACCGUACCCUACAACCGACACAGGUGUUCAAGUAUAAUAUACUAUGGCGUUGAAAUAAUACCGCAUAAGGAACUCGGCAAAAUGUUUCCUAACACUAGAUAAUAAGGAAAACCAUAGAUUAAAAAUAUGGUGGCACAUAAUAGAGGGGGGCGACUGUUUACCAAAAACACCGGUAUCUGCUAUGUAAUAUAAUACGUUGUAUAGAUACUGAAUCUUGUCCAAUGCCCAGAGUCUAAAUUUAAUUAGUGUUAUAGCGAUUAAAUGAAGCUUAGGUGAAUGACCGUCUUAACUAUAAGGAUGUUAAAGUAGCGAAAUUCAUUGUUCGCUAAUUACGAUCCUGCAUGAAUAGAUUAACGAUCCCCCUGCUGUCUCAUGCGGUACUUCAGUGAAAUUG
rnacentral:ncRNA from 1 species